rnacentral:tRNA from 1 species
GCCGGCUUAGUAUAUGUUAUGAGUGCGCGGGAUUGUAGCUCCUGAGGAGGGGUGUUCUUGGCCGGA